rnacentral:sRNA from 1 species
GAAACCAAUUCAAAGUCGUCUGGUAAUGAAAAGCUUCAACUAGUUGGCGAAAAAGCACAAUUGGAACAACAGAAAAUCGAACAAAGCAAUAAAAUUUUAGCCAUGAAGAAAAAAAUUCGUCACCUGAAAAACAUGAUCAAGAAACUGACUUUGGAUAUUAAAGACCUGGAAAAUAUUCGAGAGGAAGCCAUCUUUCAGCAGAAGAAGAACGAGAUCUUAAGUCGAGAACUAGAGACCUUCAAAUCUUCCCAGGAAACAAAAUUUAUAGAGAUCCCAGAG